AGACCUGAUGUAACACUUGUGUGAUUCUCCCCGUUGAAACUUCAAACUCCAGUUUGUGAACAAAGUCCUAUAUCUUCUGAAUAGGAAUCUCCGACCACUGGCCAAACUCCAUUCGCAACCACUGCCUAUUUGUACCUUCUCCUCAAUGAUUACAUUUCAUUUCCCCAAGUCCGAUCUCAAAGGCAGACCGCAGGGAAGCAACAUUAAGUAAGAAAAAUUAAACAAAAACAAACAAAAAAAACCAGGAACCAGCAGCUUGGGAGGAAAAGAGGAUCAUGGUGGCCCCGGUGGAGGAGUUGUUUAAUAAGAUAUGGAAUAUGCGCUGUCUGGGGACUUAUUUGGUUUCUUUCUGAGAAAGCUGCAGCACAUGGGGAAAUGUGAGUGUUUGUGCAGCACCAUCCAGGAGCGUGUUGAUGUUGAUAAAGAGUAAAACAGAAGGAGACAAUGUGCUGGCUGCAGCAGGUUUGAGGCUGCCGCUCUGCUCUGCUCUGCUGCAGUAGAUGGAGGAGAUAGUGCAGCGUCCCAUCCUGGCCAUACAUCCCCCUGAAGGCCGAGCCCUGACAGUGAGCCGGCCAGCUGAGCGAAGGCCCAUGAGCCUCAGCGGCUCUCUCAGGCCCGGCCAGGCUGAGGCAGGCUGGGAGGAGAAGCAGGGCCACUGUUACCGGAUAGUGCUGUUUGCCGGGGCCACCGGGCUGGCUUGUAAGGGCCCACAGCACCCAGGGAUAAUCCCCCUAAUGCCUGUCACAAUGAGAUUUGAUUGGAGACUUGAACACCCGGAUUAAAAGUGGCAAGUAAUACCUACCCUCCAAACAGGCUGCUAAUUGGGCUAAACACCGGAGAGGCACUUCUAGAUCAUAUUUUUAUUACAGUACGGAUUCAAUUUCACUUCAUUAGCUGAGUGAUUUGUCCACCAGGACACUAUAACACAAGCUUAAUACUUUCUAUACGGCUGCAGUCAUAUUCUUAAUUCUCUAACUUUUUUUUUAUGAUACGUUAUUUCAGAUAUGAAGUUCAUGUUGCUGUUACUGUCUGAUCACAUUCACGCUGUCACAAGCUGGCAAAAGCAGCUCGCCAUUGACACAGUCAGAGACUUCAUUACUGCAAGCUUUGCAGAAAUUUGCAUCUCCUCAUCCCACUGUGACAUGCAAAUCGUUCGGACGGAUGACCACAGGAGUGAAAACCAAACUUCCAUCAGCUGCUUUGUUUGAAAGCCGCGGAGUGAGAGGCGGCGCUGUGCAGCGAGGCCUUCGCUUUCAUUGACAUAGUUCAAAACAGACAUCACAGGAGGAACGGAACGUACUGCAUGCAGUCUGCAGCAGCAACGUGAAGCGAGAUGUGAGAGAUAGGGAUUUCUCCGUUUGUACAGCAUCACAUACUGCAGCCGUAAAUAAAAUAUAAGCUUCAUCAAUCGGUUUCGUGUUUCAGGCUUUACAAAGAGAAUGUUUUCCGCCCUUCAGGUUCCAGAAUAAACACACGUCUGACUUCUUCCAGUAACGCGGCUUUUCAAAACUCCUUCGUGCAUCAACACUUUCAAAUCAUCCUCUUAUCCAGCGGUGGAAUGUAACUAAGCACAUUUACUCAAGUACUAUACUUAAGUACAAAUGUUGAGACUUGAUGUACUCCCAACUGCUCUGACAUCUCAAAAACCUUUGAACCAUCGUCAGCAUCAAGCCCGGCUGCCACGGCCUUUCUCAACAACCUCCAUCUCUCUGACACACCUCCUGGAUUACAGCCGUGUGAAAAGGGCAGACACAAAUGGCGACGAGAUUUCCACCCUCCGAGUCUGCAGUGAUCUGCCAGAGCUCUGGAGCCGCUGCACAAAACCACCGAAAAAGAAAAGAAGAAGCAAGCAGCUGCCCCCCCCCCCACUGAAACCACCGGGCCGAGGUGCUAAAAACAGUACCAAAUAGUGUGUACUCACCAAAUGGAAGUUCCAUACUUGAAGUGACUUGUGUGUUUACAUUGACCAUUUCGUCCUCUGCUUCCUCUCCAACAUGUGUUUAAAAUCCGCUUUUUCCCUCCCUCCCCAUGAGGUGUAAAAUGUGGAAGUUUGGCGCAGGUUGCUGUAGCGGGAGAAGGCUUUUGUUGGUGCAAGGUAAGGCCGGUGUUGCCGCUGUUAUCUUAUUGAUUUUCCUAAUCUGGGCAAAUGUGGGUGGGGAGGUUAAACAGUAACCAGGCUCGUAUGGACACCUAUCUAUAUAGCAGCUGUAACUAAGGCAACAUGAUGAUAGAAACUCAAAUAAACACAAAGUUAUUAUGUGCAUUUCCCUCUUUCUCAUCACUAAAUAGCAGUUUUUCUAGAUACAGAUUAGGAGUGAAUAGGAGCGCCGAAUAAGAAACUGAAUUGAUGCUAAAAGGAGAGAGAGAGAGAGAGAGAAAGCUGGAGGGUGGAGAGUGACAUAAAAGACAGAGGAGUGGAGAAUGUACCAAGGGUGGCAGCGGACAAACUGUGGAUGAUGAGUGGCGUCACCAGUUUUGUUUUGACCGAGGGGAAAAUGUUGCCGACGGAUAUAGAAUUGGGCCUGAAUCACCUGUGUGGAUGACAAAACACCCACCGACAUCUCAUUUUAAAAUCUUAUAUUUUCAGUCUCCCGGGCUGAAAUGGAAAUGUCCCUCCGGUUUCACUUCAUAAUGGCAAAUGUUGCACCAUGCAGUUCCCAUCUGAUACAGUUUACAGAUUUACUUGUACCAGCGUAUAAAUAUUAGAGUUGGACGUGGGAUUGAUCACUUUCUGUAACAUCACUGGUGUCACAACAGCAUGAAAACCAAGGCACUCUUGUUGAAUAAAAUAUUUUAAAAUCCUUUAUUGAUGCGGCUAAUGCAUAGCAAAAGGUAAAAAAAUACGCACCAACGCGUUGCGGCACACGGGCCUUCUUCAGGCUGACUAACCAGAAGUAUGGAGUUUAUGCAAUUUACAGUCUCUUGAUGAAUAAUUUGACACCUUUUUGCUUCCAUACUUAGAGUUAGAUGAGAAGAUCGAUCCAAUCUCAUAUUACAUAUACUGUACAUAUACAGCCCGCAGCCAGUUAGCUUAGCUUAGCAUAAAGGCCGGAAACGGGGAGCAGCUAGCCUGGCUCUGUCCAAAGGUAACUACCAGCACCUCUAAAAGCUCUCUAAUCAACACGUUACUGCUCGAUAAUCUAUAAAUUGUGGUUUUACGGGGUGUGUUAUGUGCCGGACUAUUUCUUAGCUGGCAACUGCAAUGUGACGACAAGACAUCAGGAGAAAAAGAAACACAACACAUGUAACUUUCAGCAAGAAAGCGAAUAAGCGCAUUUACCAAAAUGUCGAACUUUUUCUUUAGUGUCUGUGGAGGCAUUAACUGGUGAUGACAGCACAAUGCCAGUCGUUUUAUAAAGUACGGAUGUCCGUUUCCUUCCGAUUUCUUUGUGUUGGCAUUUUAAACUGUGGAUAAACGGUGGAUUUGUGAGGACUGUGGUUAACCGCUCCUCAG